rnacentral:rRNA from 1 species
UACGUAGGUGGCAAGCGUUGUUCGGAAUUAUUGGGCGUAAAGGGCGCGUAGGCGGUCUUGUAAGUCAGCUGUGAAAGCCCGGGGCUCAACCCCGGAGGGUCGGCUGAUACUGCAGGACUGGAGUACGGAAGAGGUAGCUGGAAUUCCCGGUGUAGCGGUGAAAUGCGUAGAGAUCAGGAAGAACACCGGUGGCGAAAGCGCUCUGCUAGGCCGCAACUGACACUGAGGGACGAAAGCUAGGGGAGCGAAUGGG